AGUCAUAUGCUUGUCUCAAAGAUUAAGCCAUGCAUGUCUAAGUAUAAGCAAUUAUACAGCGAAACUGCGAAUGGCUCAUUAUAUAAGUUAUCGUUUAUUUGAUAGUACCUUACUACUUGGAUAACCGUGGUAAUUCUAGAGCUAAUACAUGCUAAAAAUCCCGACUUCGGAAGGGAUGUAUUUAUUAGAUUAAAAACCAAUGCCCUCUGGGCUCUUUGGUGAUUCAUGAUAACUUCUCGAAUCGCACGGCCUUGCGCCGGCGAUGGUUCAUUCAAAUUUCUUCCCUAUCAACUUUCGAUGUUUGGGUAUUGGCCAAACAUGGUUGCAACGGGUAACGGAG
rnacentral:rRNA from 1 species